AUUGAACGCUGGCGGCAUGCCUAACACAUGCAAGUCGAACGGCAGCACGGGUAUAGUUUACUAUACUGGGUGGCGAGUGGCGGACGGGUGAGUAACGCGUAGGAAUAUAUCUUGAAGAGUGGGACAACUUGGGGAAACUCAGGCUAAUACCGCAUGAAUUCUGAGGAAUAAAGCUGGGGACCUUUGGGCCUGGCGCUUUGAGGAUAGCCUGCGUCCGAUUAGCUAGUUGGUGGGGUAAGGGCCUACCAAGGCGAUGAUCGGUAGCUGGUCUGAGAGGACGGACAGCCACACUGGGACUGAGACACGGCCCAGACUCCUACGGGAGGCUG
rnacentral:rRNA from 1 species